rnacentral:rRNA from 1 species
GACGAACGCUGGCGGCGUGCUUAACACAUGCAAGUCGAACGGAAAGGCCCCUUUGGGGGUACUCGAGUGGCGAACGGGUGAGUAACACGUGCGUAACCUGCCCUUGACUUCGGGAUAACUUCAGGAAACUGGGGCUAAUACCGGAUAGGAAUCCUUGCUGCAUGGUGGGGGUUGGAAAGCUUCGGCGGUUUUGGAUGGACUCACGGCUUAUCAGCUUGUUGGUGGGGUAGUGGCUUACCAAGGCUUUGACGGGUAGCCGGCCUGAGAGGGCGACCGGCCACAUUGGGACUGAGAUACGGCCCAGACUCCUACGGGAGGCAGCAGUGGGGAAUAUUGCACAAUGGGCGGAAGCCUGAUGCAGCAACGCCGCGGGCGGGAUGACGGCCUUCGGGUUGUAAACCGCUUUCAGCAGGGGCGAAGCUUGUGGUGACGGUACCUGCAGAAGAAGCACCGGCUAACUACGUG